CUAUCCAUGGGAAGGUCGACUAUCCAUAUAAAUAGAAGCUUCUAUUUACAUGGAUAGUCGACCUUCCCAUGCAUAG
rnacentral:sRNA from 1 species